GGGUUGUGAGGUUAAGCGACUAAGCGUACACGGUGGAUGCCCUGGCAGUCAGAGGCGAUGAAGGACGUGCUAAUCUGCGAUAAGCGUCGGUAAGGUGAUAUGAACCGUUAUAACCGGCGAUUUCCGAAUGGGGAAACCCAGUGUGUUUCGACACACUAUCAUUAACUGAAUCCAUAGGUUAAUGAGGCGAACCGGGGGAACUGAAACAUCUAAGUACCCCGAGGAAAAGAAAUCAACCGAGAUUCCCCCAGUAGCGGCGAGCGAACGGGGAGCAGCCCAGAGCCUGAAUCAGUGUGUGUGUUAGUGGAAGCGUCUGGAAAGGCGCGCGAUACAGGGUGACAGCCCCGUACACAAAAAUGCACAUGCUGUGAGCUCGAUGAGUAGGGCGGGACACGUGGUAUCCUGUCUGAAUAUGGGGGGACCAUCCUCCAAGGCUAAAUACUCCUGACUGACCGAUAGUGAACCAGUACCGUGAGGGAAAGGCGAAAAGAACCCCGGCGAGGGGAGUGAAAAAGAACCUGAAACCGUGUACGUACAAGCAGUGGGAGCACGCUUAGGCGUGUGACUGCGUACCUUUUGUAUAAUGGGUCAGCGACUUAUAUUCUGUAGCAAGGUUAACCGAAUAGGGGAGCCGAAGGGAAACCGAGUCUUAACUGGGCGUUAAGUUGCAGGGUAUAGACCCGAAACCCGGUGAUCUAGCCAUGGGCAGGUUGAAGGUUGGGUAACACUAACUGGAGGACCGAACCGACUAAUGUUGAAAAAUUAGCGGAUGACUUGUGGCUGGGGGUGAAAGGCCAAUCAAACCGGGAGAUAGCUGGUUCUCCCCGAAAGCUAUUUAGGUAGCGCCUCGUGAAUUCAUCUCCGGGGGUAGAGCACUGUUUCGGCAAGGGGGUCAUCCCGACUUACCAACCCGAUGCAAACUACGAAUACCGGAGAAUGUUAUCACGGGAGACACACGGCGGGUGCUAACGUCCGUCGUGAAGAGGGAAACAACCCAGACCGCCAGCUAAGGUCCCAAAGUCAUGGUUAAGUGGGAAACGAUGUGGGAAGGCCCAGACAGCCAGGAUGUUGGCUUAGAAGCAGCCAUCAUUUAAAGAAAGCGUAAUAGCUCACUGGUCGAGUCGGCCUGCGCGGAAGAUGUAACGGGGCUAAACCAUGCACCGAAGCUGCGGCAGCGACGCUGAUGCGUUGUUGGGUAGGGGAGCGUUCUGUAAGCCUGCGAAGGUGUGCUGUGAGGCAUGCUGGAGGUAUCAGAAGUGCGAAUGCUGACAUAAGUAACGAUAAAGCGGGUGAAAAGCCCGCUCGCCGGAAGACCAAGGGUUCCUGUCCAACGUUAAUCGGGGCAGGGUGAGUCGACCCCUAAGGCGAGGCCGAAAGGCGUAGUCGAUGGGAAACAGGUUAAUAUUCCUGUACUUGGUGUUACUGCGAAGGGGGGACGGAGAAGGCUAUGUUGGCCGGGCGACGGUUGUCCCGGUUUAAGCGUGUAGGCUGGUUUUCCAGGCAAAUCCGGAAAAUCAAGGCUGAGGCGUGAUGACGAGGCACUACGGUGCUGAAGCAACAAAUGCCCUGCUUCCAGGAAAAGCCUCUAAGCAUCAGGUAACAUCAAAUCGUACCCCAAACCGACACAGGUGGUCAGGUAGAGAAUACCAAGGCGCUUGAGAGAACUCGGGUGAAGGAACUAGGCAAAAUGGUGCCGUAACUUCGGGAGAAGGCACGCUGAUAUGUAGGUGAAGUCCCUCGCGGAUGGAGCUGAAAUCAGUCGAAGAUACCAGCUGGCUGCAACUGUUUAUUAAAAACACAGCACUGUGCAAACACGAAAGUGGACGUAUACGGUGUGACGCCUGCCCGGUGCCGGAAGGUUAAUUGAUGGGGUCAGCGCAAGCGAAGCUCUUGAUCGAAGCCCCGGUAAACGGCGGCCGUAACUAUAACGGUCCUAAGGUAGCGAAAUUCCUUGUCGGGUAAGUUCCGACCUGCACGAAUGGCGUAAUGAUGGCCAGGCUGUCUCCACCCGAGACUCAGUGAAAUUGAACUCGCUGUGAAGAUGCAGUGUACCCGCGGCAAGACGGAAAGACCCCGUGAACCUUUACUAUAGCUUGACACUGAACAUUGAGCCUUGAUGUGUAGGAUAGGUGGGAGGCUUUGAAGUGUGGACGCCAGUCUGCAUGGAGCCGACCUUGAAAUACCACCCUUUAAUGUUUGAUGUUCUAACGUUGACCCGUAAUCCGGGUUGCGGACAGUGUCUGGUGGGUAGUUUGACUGGGGCGGUCUCCUCCUAAAGAGUAACGGAGGAGCACGAAGGUUGGCUAAUCCUGGUCGGACAUCAGGAGGUUAGUGCAAUGGCAUAAGCCAGCUUGACUGCGAGCGUGACGGCGCGAGCAGGUGCGAAAGCAGGUCAUAGUGAUCCGGUGGUUCUGAAUGGAAGGGCCAUCGCUCAACGGAUAAAAGGUACUCCGGGGAUAACAGGCUGAUACCGCCCAAGAGUUCAUAUCGACGGCGGUGUUUGGCACCUCGAUGUCGGCUCAUCACAUCCUGGGGCUGAAGUAGGUCCCAAGGGUAUGGCUGUUCGCCAUUUAAAGUGGUACGCGAGCUGGGUUUAGAACGUCGUGAGACAGUUCGGUCCCUAUCUGCCGUGGGCGCUGGAGAACUGAGGGGGGCUGCUCCUAGUACGAGAGGACCGGAGUGGACGCAUCACUGGUGUUCGGGUUGUCAUGCCAAUGGCACUGCCCGGUAGCUAAAUGCGGAAGAGAUAAGUGCUGAAAGCAUCUAAGCACGAAACUUGCCCCGAGAUGAGUUCUCCCUGACCCUUUAAGGGUCCUGAAGGAACGUUGAAGACGACGACGUUGAUAGGCCGGGUGUGUAAGCGCAGCGAUGCGUUGAGCUAACCGGUACUAAUGAACCGUGAGGCUUAACCUUACAACGCCGAAGGUGUUU
rnacentral:rRNA from 1 species